CUGAAUGUUUUACUAGAGCCAAACACUAGAGGGCAGAAGAGUCAGUCAAAUGAGCUGAACCCGCCAGAACCACAGCCUUGAACGCGUGCAUGUCAACUUGUCAGCCGAGUAAGAUUAAUGGUGUUUCUGCUCUAUUUUUGUGGUUCAAUUAGCAGUUUCUCAGUUCUAUAAAGUGCUCUAAUCUUCAGUUUCUGUCGUGUCCAUCUGUACUGCUGUCUGUUAGCAGAAUGCUGCUGUCAGAAGCGCUGAGGGACAUCUGGACGCCCCGCUGACUGAGUUUAUGUGCUCAGACCUCACCGUCACAAACAGCAGCUCUGUGGCGAUGUUUCUCAGCUGUUUUCAAACAAUCCUAACGGACGGAGCCCCAGCUGAAGGUCCCGAUGGAGAUGAGUGUCUGACAGGCUCCAGACGACAGCCACACCGUCUCCAUCAGACUGAAGUGAAGAAAGCCCAGGGCGAAGCCGCAUGCCAUGUCCGUCAGGUGGUGUUGUCCCAGCAGAACGCGGGACAGGCCCACCAGGACGGCCCACAGCACCAGCAGGACCCGCAGCGGGACGGCCAGCACUAGAUGGGACAAGAGGAACUUGGACACCAUGACGGCUCUGCUGGCGUGUGCAGCCGGGAACGAGUAUGUGUCCAGAGCCACACAGUCCAGAAAGCCGGGACUUAUGUCCCAUGGUCCUUUGCGCCUGACCAGUUUCUGAACCCCGGCCACAGUCAGAACAUCAAGAAUCAGCGCUGAAAGAAAGCAGGUUGAUCAGGACCUCUUGUCCAGCCAACGUGUUACUCUGAGUGAGACACAGCAGAGUCCCACAGAUCCAGGUGAUGCCGUGACCCGUCAGAGCCAGUAGAGUGACUGCCGAGCGCAUGCUGCCCCAUGAGGAUGUGGUGUGG